AGUGAACGCUGGCGGUAGGCCUAACACAUGCAAGUCGAACGGCAGCACAGGAGAGCUUGCUCUCUGGGUGGCGAGUGGCGGACGGGUGAGGAAUACAUCGGAAUCUACUCUGUCGUGGGGGAUAACGUAGGGAAACUUACGCUAAUACCGCAUACGACCUACGGGUGAAAGCAGGGGAUCUUCGGACCUUGCGCGAUUGAAUGAGCCGAUGUCGGAUUAGCUGGUUGGCGGGGUAAAGGCCCACCAAGGCGACGAUCCGUAGCUGGUCUGAGAGGAUAGUCAGCCACACUGGAACUGAGACACGGUCCAGACUCCUACGGGAGGCAGCAGUGGGGAAUAUUGGACAAUGGGCGCAAGCCUGAUCCAGCCAUACCGCGUGGGUGAAGAAGGCCUUCGGGUUGUAAAGCCCUUUUGUUGGGAAAGAAAUCCAGCUGGCUAAUACCCGGUUGGGAUGACGGUACCCAAAGAAUAAGCACCGGCUAACUUCGUGCCAGCCGCCGCCGUAA
rnacentral:rRNA from 1 species